AUUGAACGCUGGCGGCAGGCCUAACACAUGCAAGUCGAGCGGGGUUUUCGGACCUAGCGGCGGACGGGUGAGUAAUGCGUAGGAAGCUGCCCGAUAGAGGGGGAUACCAGUUGGAAACGACUGUUAAUACCGCAUAAUGUCUACGGACCAAAGUGUGGGACCUUCGGGCCACAUGCUAUCGGAUGCGCCUACGUGGGAUUAGCUAGUUGGUGAGGUAAUGGCUCACCAAGGCGACGAUCUCUAGCUGGUUUGAGAGGAUGAUCAGCCACACUGUAACUGAGACACGGUCCAGACUCCUACGGGAGGCAGCAGUGGGGAAUAUUGGACAAUGGGCGCAAGCCUGAUCCAGCCAUGCCGCGUGUGUUAAGAAGGCCUUCGGGUUGUAAAGCACUUUCAGCGAGGAGGAAGGGUGGUGUGUUAAUAGCACAUCAUUUUGACGUUACUCGCAGAAGAAGCACCGGCUAACUCUGUGCCAGCCGCCGCAGUAACAC
rnacentral:rRNA from 1 species